UGUUAAGGGUCUAUGCGUUCUCGCACACCUCAGCGUGGAGUUCGAAAGCAAUCACAGUCCGGGAGCAGAAAAGGUCGGGCGUCCUCAUCCAGAUCUAGGCGUUCUCGCACACCUCAGCGUGGAGUUCAAAUGCCAUCACAGUCCGAGAGAGGCUUGUUCCCCAUGUCUCAAGCUAAAUACCAGAAGUCAGUGCUUGGAAAGCUAGUAGAAAUUCUUGAUGAGAUAAAAAGAGUCGGAAGGCACUAUGAGCCACUGAAUUCUGCUGUCCACGUUGCUAGGCUAGAAAACUUUGAAGAUUUUGCUGAAGAAGAGGC